CGCAUCUGUGCAUGCAGCAUAUCAAUAAGCGGAGGAAAAGAAACUAACAAGGAUUCCCCUAGUAACGGCGAGUGAAGCGGGAAGAGCUCAAAUUUGAAAUCUUAAAGGGUUUCCCUUUACGAAUUGUAGUUUAAAGAAGUGUUUUCUGUUGAGGUUUUGGUAAAUGUUCUUUGGAAUAGGACAUCAUAGAGGGUGAGAAUCCCGUAUUUGACCUUUACUUUCAACUUUGUGAUACACUUUCAAAGAGUCGGAUUGUUUGGGAAUGCAGUCCAAAAUGGGUGGUAAAUUUCAUCUAAAGCUAAAUAUUGGCGAGAGACCGAUAGCGAACAAGUACCGUGAGGGAAAGAUGAAAAGAACUUUGAAAAGAGAGUUAAACAGUACGUGAAAUUGUCAAAAGGGAAGCGUUUGACACCAGUGUUGUUUUUCUGAAAAUCAAUUAAAGAACUGUUUAUGCUAAGUUGUUUAGACUUUAUCAGCUAACUGUUUAGUUUUGAGCUUUUCUUUAAUGCACUUUUCAGUUAACAAGUCAACAUCAAUUUCUUUUGCUGUAAAAAGCUUGAGGAAGGUGGCCUGAGAUCCGUCUUAAGUGUUUAUAGCCUCUUGCCUAUGCAGUCGGAGAGAUUGAGGUCUGCAGCGUAGAUCCUUCGGGGCUAAAUGCAUUUGUGCUAAGUUAUAGCAUUUUAUAGACAACUUGUUGACUAUGAUUUGUCUUGUAGCUUACUCGCUUAUGUUAUUUUACCUACGCUUAGGAUGUUGAACGCGCACAGGUCUC
rnacentral:rRNA from 1 species